CCAAAGGCUCUUUUCAGAGCCACCCACAAUGUCUCAAAGAUCUGU
rfam:Myotis davidii contig72881, whole genome shotgun sequence.